GUGUCAGCAGCCGCGGUAAGACGAACCGUGCGAACGUUGUUCGGAAUCACUGGGCUUAAAGGGCGCGUAGGCGGGUCAGCCAGUUCGGGGUGAAAUCCUCCGGCUUAACCGGAGAACUGCCUCGAAGACGACUGAUCUGGAGGGAGGUAGGGGUCGCUGGAACUUCCGGUGGAGCGGUGAAAUGCGUUGAUAUCGGAAGGAACGCCGGUGGCGAAAGCGAGCGACUGGACCUUUACUGACGCUGAGGCGCGAAAGCUAGGGGAGCAAACGGGAUUAGAUACCCCGGUAGUCC
rnacentral:rRNA from 1 species